AACAAACGCUGGCGGCGCGUUUUAAGCAUGCAAGUCGGACGGCAAGAGCUGUAACAAUAUGGCUCCUAGAGUGGCGAACGGGUGAGUAACACGUAGGUGAUCUGCCCUUGGAUGGGGGAUAGUCCGUGGAAACACGGGGUAAUACCGCAUGAGGCCUUGUGGGUAGAGCCAUGAGGUGAAAGGUGCAAUUGCACCGUCUGGGGAUGAGCCUGCGGUCCAUUAGGUAGUUGGCGGGGUAAGGGCCCACCAAGCCUACGAUGGAUAGCCGGCCUGAGAGGGUGUACGGCCACACUGGAACUGAGACACGGUCCAGACUCCUACGGGAGGCAGCAGCUAAGAAUCUUCCGCAAUGGGGGAAAUCCUGACGGAGCGACGCCGCGUGGACGAUGGAGGCCGUAAGGUUGUAAAGUCCUUUUCCUGGUGAAGAAUGACCGUGGGAGUGGAAAGCCCAUGGGAUGACGUUAGCCAGGGAAUAAGCCCCGGCCAAUUACGUGCCAGCAGCCGCAGUAAUAC
rnacentral:rRNA from 1 species